GACGAACGCUGGCGGCGUGCUUAACACAUGCAAGUCGAACGGAAAGGCCCUUCUUUUGUGGGGUGCUCGAGUGGCGAACGGGUGAGUAACACGUGAGUAACCUGCCCUUGACUUUGGGAUAACUUCAGGAAACUGGGGCUAAUACCGGAUAGGAGCUCCUGCUGCAUGGUGGGGGUUGGAAAGUUUCGGCGGUUGGGGAUGGACUCGCGGCUUAUCAGCUUGUUGGUGGGGUAGUGGCUUACCAAGGCUUUGACGGGUAGCCGGCCUGAGAGGGUGACCGGCCACAUUGGGACUGAGAUACAGCCCAGACUCCUACGGGAGGCAGCAGUGGGGAAUAUUGCACAAUGGGCGGAAGCCUGAUGCAGCAACGCCGCGUGCGGGAUGACGGCCUUCGGGUUGUAAACCGCUUUCGCCUGUGACGAAGCGUGAGUGACGGUAAUGGGUAAAGAAGCACCGGCUAACUACGUG
rnacentral:rRNA from 1 species